UACGGGAGGCAGCAGUGGGGAAUAUUGCACAAUGGGCGAAAGCCUGAUGCAGCUAUGCCGCGUGUAUGAAGAAGGCCUUAGGGUUGUAAAGUACUUUCAUCGGGGAGGAAAAAACAAAACUAAUAAUUUUAUUUCUUGACGUUACCCGAAAAAGAAGCACCGGCUAACUCCGUGCCAGCAGCCGCGGUAAUACGGAGGGUGCUAGCGUUAAUCAGAAUUACUGGGCGUAAAGAGCACGUAGGUGGUUUUUUUAAGUCAGAUGUGGAAUCCCUGGGCUUAACCUGGAACUGCAUUUUGAAACUGAAAUACUAGAGUAUCGUAGAGGGAGGUAGAAUUCUAGGUGUAGCGGUGAAAUGCGUAGAUAUCUGGAGGAAUACCUGUGGCGAAAGCGGCCUCCUAAACGAAUACUGACACUGAGGUGCGAAAGCGUGGGGAGCAAACAGGGAUUAGAUACCCGU
rnacentral:rRNA from 1 species